rnacentral:rRNA from 1 species
UACAGAGGCCUCAAGCGUUGUUCGGAUUCAUUGGGCGUAAAGGGCGCGUAGGUGGCGGGACAAGCGUGCGGUGAAAGCUCGGGGCUCAACCCCGAGUCGGCCGUGCGGACUGUCUUGCUUGAGCACUGUAGAGGCAGGCGGAAUUCCGGGUGUAGCGGUGGAAUGCGUAGAGAUCCGGAAGAACACCGGUGGCGAAGGCGGCCUGCUGGGCAGUUGCUGACACUGAGGCGCGACAGCGUGGGGAGCAAACAGG